GCACUGGUCAUAGCAAACACUCUCUUCUAACAACACAAGAGAAGACUCUACACAUGGACAUCACCAGAUGGUCAACACCAAAAUCAGAUUGAUUAUAUUCUUUGCAGCCAAAGAUGGAGAAGCUCUAUCCAGUCAGCAAAAAGAAGACUGGGCACUGACUGUGGCUCAGAUGGUGAACUCCUUAUUGCUAAACUCAGAUUUAAAUUGAAGAAAGUAGGGAAAACCACUAGAUCAUUCAAGUAUGACCUAAAUCAAAUCCCUUAUGAUUAUGGAAAUGACAGUGGAAGUGACAAAUAGAUUCAAGGGAUCAGAUCUGAUAGACAGAGUGCCUGAAGAACUAUGGAUGGAGGUUCAUGACACUGUACAGGAGGCAGUGAUCAAGACCAUCCCCAAGAAAAAGAAAAGCGAAAAGGCAAAAUGGUUGUCUGAGGAGGCCUUACAAAUAGCUAUGAAAAGAAGAGACAUGAAAGGCAAAGGAGAAAAGGAAAGAUAUACCCAUUUGAAUGAAGAGUUCCAAAGAACAGCAAGGAGAGAUAAGAAAGCCUUCCUCAGUGAUCAAUGCAAGGAAAUAGAGCAAAACAAUGGAAUGGGAAAGAUUAGAGAUAUCUUCAAGAAAAUUAGAGAUACCAAGGGAACUUUUCAUGCAAAGAUGGGCACAAUAAAGGACAGAAAUGAUAUGGACCUAACAGAAGCAGAAGAUAUUAAGAAGUGGCAAGAAUACACAGAACUGUACAAAAAAGAUCUUCACGACCCAGAUAAUCAUGAUGGUGUGAUCACUCACCUAGAGCCAGACAUUCUGGAAUGUGAAAUCAAGUGGGCCUUAGGAAGCAUCACUACGAACAAAGCUAGUGGAGGUGAUGGAAUUCCAGUUGAGCUAUUUGAAAUCCUGAAAGAUGAUGCUGUGAAAGUGUUGCACUCAAUAUGCCAGCAAAUUUGGAAAACUCAGCAGUGGCCACAGGACUGGAAAAGUACUGUUGAAGCCUGGCUUGGAGAAUUUUGAGUGUUACUUUGCUAGCCUGUGAGAUGAGUGUAAUUGUGUGGUAGUUUGAACAUUCUUUGGCAUUGCCUUU
rnacentral:lncRNA from 1 species